UCGAUGCCACUAGUCCAAAGAACGCGAGGAAUUGUAAUAGGAAUUAUAAUAAAUGAGAAUCAAGAACAUUUUUUGGAUAAUUUUGUCUUUACUAAAACAGUUUAUA